AUUGAACGCUGGCGGCAGGCCUAACACAUGCAAGUCGAGCGGAGCGGCGGACGGGUGAGUAAUGCCUAGGAAUCUGCCUGGUAGUGGGGGAUAACGUCCGGAAACGGGCGCUAAUACCGCAUACUAUCAGAUGAGCCUAGGUCGGAUUAGCUAGUUGGUGGGGUAAAGGCCUACCAAGGCGAAGAUCCGUAACUAGUCUGAGAGGAUGAUCAGUCACACUGGAACUGAGACACGGUCCAGACUCCUACGGGAGGCAGCAGUAGGGAAUCUUGGACAUAGUGCGAAAGCCUGAUCCAGCCAUGCCGCGUGUGUGAAGAAGGUCUUCGGAUUGUAAAUCACAUUGUGUUGAGAGGCGUUACCAACAGAAUAGGCACCGGCUAACUUCGUGCCAGCAGCCGCGGUAAUUC
rnacentral:rRNA from 1 species